GGGGGGAGGCCGGAUUCUGGGCUGUGUCCCCGGCGCCCUGUGCUCCCGGCCUGCGCUGUUGGAUUGGCACUCCAGGCUGCGCAGCCCCCU
rnacentral:pre_miRNA from 1 species